AACGAACGCUGGCGGCAUGCCUAACACAUGCAAGUCGAACGAGACCUUCGGGUCUAGUGGCGCAUGGGUGCGUAACGCGUGGGAACCUGCCCUUAGGUUCGGAAUAACUCCCCGAAAGGGGUGCUAAUACCGGAUAAUGUCUUCGGACCAAAGAUUUAUCGCCUUUGGGUGGGCCCGCGUUGGAUUAGCUAGUUGGUAGGGUAAAAGCCUACCAAGGCGACGAUCCAUAGCUGGUCUGAGAGGAUAAUCAGCCACACUGGGACUGGGACACGGCCCAGACUCCUACGGGAGGCAGCAGUGGGGAAUAUUGGACAAUGGGCGAAAGCCUGAUCCAGCAAUGCCGCGUGAGUGAUGAAGGCCUUAGGGUUGUAAAGCUCUUUUACCCGGGAUGAUAAUGACAGUACCGGGAGAAUAAGCUCCGGCUAACUCCGUG
rnacentral:rRNA from 1 species